rnacentral:rRNA from 1 species
CCUACGGGCGUCUGCAGUGGGGAAUAUUGGACAAUGGGGGCAACCCUGAUCCAGCCAUGCCGCGUGUGUGAAGAAGGCCCUCGGGUUGUAAAGCACUUUCAGUGAGGAAGAACGCCUGGUGGUUAAUACCCAUCAGGAAAGACAUCACUCACAGAAGAAGCACCGGCUAACUCCGUGCCAGCAGCCGCGGUAAUACGGAGGGUGCGAGCGUUAAUCGGAAUUACUGGGCGUAAAGCGCGCGUAGGUGGCUUGAUAAGCCGGUUGUGAAAGCCCCGGGCUCAACCUGGGAACGGCAUCCGGAACUGUCAAGCUAGAGUGCAGGAGAGGAAGGUAGAAUUCCCGGUGUAGCGGUGAAAUGCGUAGAGAUCGGGAGGAAUACCAGUGGCGAAGGCGGCCUUCUGGACUGACACUGACACUGAGGUGCGAAAGCGUGGGUAGCAAACAGGAUUAGAUACCAUUGUAGUC